rnacentral:lncRNA from 1 species
AAAAAGUAUCUAACAAGUCCAAAUUUUAAAAAUACAUAUAUGCCAUAUAACCAUAAUGAGGAGUAUUGUAGGAUGACACGUGAGAAAAAUAUAAUCGAGAUAAAGAAUGAAAAAGAAACACAAAACAGCCGCCAUGGAGCAUCAAACUCGUGACGUGGAAACUAAUAAAGACGCAUUGACCAACAUGUAGAAGGCCACACCUGCG